CCAGCGAGGAUGGUCAUACAUCAGGAAGAAGAUGCGAUUGCGGAGGAAGGCAAUGGGGUAGUACAUUAAUUUGCGGUGGAAGAACUUCAGGAGAAGAACAACCAGAAAGGCAGCAUGAACAGUGUCCAGACAUAUUGAAGAGAGAUAGCUGCCAUUGCCAUUCUUCCAUCUCCUUAGGCAUGCGAACCGCGGAGACGGAUGUGGAUAGAUCUGCUAAUCUAGGAGCAGUAAUGUAUGGUAAAAAAGUCCUUUCCUCAGACACUGCUGAUUUUUGUAGCAGGAGUUGCCCUAGCCCGCCUCAAAUAACACUUACCACUUUUCAGUCAAAAUCUGAGCUACCUAUCCGACAAACCAUCAUUGGUCCCAAACUCGAAACUGUCAUAAAUGGCCAUGGUGACGACAGCUGAGACCAAACGUGAUGUUGUAUUGGUAUUAAACGAACGUACACCCAACUAUGGGCUCGGACAGAUGAACCCAAGGAACGUAUGUUUUAAGUACCAAAAGGAUUCAGAAAACAUAAUGCUUUCAGUGCUCACAAUAUAUUAUGAAAGCCUUGUGGUGGCUAUUGUUGCUCGCAUGUAUAAUAAAAUGUGAUUAAUAGUAUUUUUAUGUAAAUGCAUUUGCAUGCUUUGUCUUGUUGUAUCACGUUAUCAGACUGCUACAAGUGAUCAUGUAAGCGAUGGCGUAUCUACAGAUUUACAUAACUUUUUCUAAGAAUCUUCCACCAUUUCGCAGACACGGAUAUAUUUAAUGUGUUUUUAGGAGCGGGACAAGAUAUCAAAAAUUCAUCGAUCCAAGAUAGCGUGUUAUGAAAAAUGUGUUAUGUUCUACAUAAAAUACAGAACAGUUCUACGAAAGAAAUAUUAUAUGGUGCAUUACAGAAACUUGCUUUUAUGGAGACUACGCAAAAAAAGUACUUCAUGAGUGCCCUGAAUUUUAUACUGAAAUGUAUAUGUAUAUAUCUAUCACAAAAUGUUAAUUUUAUGAAUGAAAAAAUUAUGAUUACAUUUGAAAAUGUUUAAAACAAAUGUUAUAAAAAUAUUCAUAGUAAAUAUUUUUGUUUUGUUCAUCAAACGGUUGCUACCAUUAUUACUGUGUGGCCAAUAUUUGUUUUUCGAAAGCACUUUUGGAAAUUUCACCAGGAAAAUCAUUCUGCUCAGUACAAAAUAUAUUUCUAACGCUAUUACGAAUGAAAAAAGUGAAAUAACUAUAUUUGAGCCCAAAUUGUUUUUAUGAAUAUUGUUCUUAUAAAAAAAAUUCUCAAUAGUACUUAAAAUUUUUCUGUUUCAAAUUUAGGUUUAAUUCAAAACAUGCAUUGAAAAACGUACAGUAAAGGCAGUUUUAAUUCAUAUUUUCAACGAGUCAACGUUUUUCUUUUUUACUUAUUUUAUUUAUUUAUUUAUUUAUUAUGAUUAACCCUUGCGCCAUUAGUACUAAUAAUCUAAAAAAUAAGUUUUUUUCUCCGGUUAUUUUCUACAGCAAAAAUCAAAUGAUAUUAAACAGUCGGCGAGGUUUACACUGUCUGAAUCCAUUUUAGCGACAUAUUUUUUUAAAAAAAUACAUGUAAUGAAAUUGAAUUCCUUAUUUGAUAUUCUUACUUAAUCGAACUACCUUCAUUAGAACCCGCAUUUAAUCCUCCGCUUGACAUGAGAAAAUUCAUCUAUGAUUAUCUGCACCAAAGGAAUUUUCAUUUCUAUUACAAAAAAAUAUAUAUAUAAUCAAAUAUUGCACUUUUUAAUAUUUUUUCACCAAAUUAGUACUUCUUAUCUCUAUCUUUAAUGCUCACUAAGUGAUUAAACUGCUUUUUAACCCAUCUGUUAAUCAAUUAUCACUAGAAAUAUCAGCAAUUUUUUAUUUGUGAGGUUAAAUCCGAAAUAACUCGUUCACUGACCUCUUUUGAUUUAAUUACUAACCAAAUUCUGACUAUAGAGUUUCGGAAAUUUCGUUAAGGAUAAAGUAACGGUAGAUUUAUAUUAUCAAAAUAUUCUCACUUGGUAAAUUAAAAAGCAGUUCAUGCUUCAAAAAAUAUAUUUUGUGCUGUAUUCAUCAAAGUAAUUCAUUUUAAAUUCAUUGCAUCUUAUUUUAUAGUAAAAAUAAAUUGUUUAACAUUUUUGUGAGCAUCUUUAUUUACCAAAAAUACUGCGUAUUAUUAAUAACAAGUAAAGAACAAUAUAAACUUUAAAUAACUAUAACUAACUUCAAAUUAUUUUAACCGCUUAAGAGUCUUAUUCCAGAAUAAGACGGUAGCAAUCCACUUCGGAUUCACAUCAUAAUUUCUCCCUCAAACCUUCUUCGUUCGUAGAAUGUCUAUGCGAAGACUGUUUCAGAAAGAAGUUAUGACGUCAAUCGAAAGCGGAAUGAUUCCGUGCGGGAGCUGAAAUAAGUCCCUAAAAUUUUCUUGAGAAGAAACUAUUGGACUAGCACUGAUUUACAGUCUAGGCAUGCAAAAUAUAAGUAAUGCGUGUUCAACAAGAUAAUAAUUUAUACAUUUUACAAAAGUUUGAAGUAUAUAAAAAUGUCCUUUUCACAUGUUACAAAAGCACUGAGUCAAUUCUGAUGUACAACAUAAAUGAUAUGAAAUAUCAAUGAAAUUGACAGUACAUUCAUUGUGUAAUAUUCAUUAUGUAAUGG